rnacentral:rRNA from 1 species
GAAGAGUUUGAUCAUGGCUCAGGACGAACGCUGGCGGCGUGCUUAACACAUGCAAGUCGAACGUGAUUUUUGUGGAAAUUCUUUCGGGAAUGGAAGCGAAAUGAAAGUGGCGAACGGGUGAGUAACACGUGAGCAACCUACCUUACACAGGGGGAUAGCCGUUGGAAACGACGAUUAAUACCGCAUGAGACCACAGAACCGCAUGGUAUAGGGGUCAAAGAUUUAUCGGUGUAAGAUGGGCUCGCGUCUGAUUAGCUAGUUGGAAGGGUAAAGGCCUACCAAGGCGACGAUCAGUAGCCGGUCUGAGAGGAUGAACGGCCACAUUGGAACUGAGACACGGUCCAAACUCCUACGGGAGGCAGCAGUGGGGAAUAUUGCACAAUGGGGGGAACCCUGAUGCAGCGACGCCGCGUGAGCGAAGAAGGUUUUCGAAUCGUAAGGCUCUGUCCCAUGAGAAGAUAAUGACGGUAUCAUAGGAGGAAGCCCCGGCUAAAUACGUGCCAGCAGCCGCGGUAAUAC